CAUUCCUUUCAGCUACGAUACAACAGAAGCAAAUAUUUGCCACUGGAAAAAAUAUUCAAAGACACUCUUAGGUUAAUCUAUAGCUGAUGACAGUCAGUCUAGUCUCCAUAGCAAGCAGCUUCAAGAUAUGAUUAUUUAGCUAAGCGGGAAAUGGGACGUGACUGCUGCCUCAUUCCCACGCCUCUCUGGACCUGAUAAUUUAGAGGAAGCUCACAUUUGCAAGAUAAAAAUUUUCUUUUCUUUCUCAGUAUUAAAUACGCUGUCACAAUA
rnacentral:lncRNA from 1 species